AACGAACGUUAGCGGCGCGCUUAACACAUGCAAGUCGAGCGAGAAAGGGGCAACCCCGGUAAAGCGGCGCACGGGUGAGUAACACGUAGGUAAUUUACCCUCGGGUGGAGGAUAACCUUCCGAAAGGAAGGCUAAUACUGCAUGAGACCACGUCUUCGUGAGGAGAUGAGGUCAAAGCCGGCCACUGUAUACAAGCUGGCGCCUGAGGAUGAGCCUGCGGCCCAUCAGCUAGUUGGUAGGGUAAUGGCCUACCAAGGCGAAGACGGGUAGCUGGUCUGAGAGGAUGAUCAGCCACACUGGAACUGAGACACGGUCCAGACUCCUACGGGAGGCAACGA
rnacentral:rRNA from 1 species